UUAAAUAAUUUAGUUUUUCCAAAUUGAUUUUCAUUUAGAUCUAAUUUGUAUACAUUAAUUUUGUUUUUUAAAAAAGAACAAAAAAGUGUGAGAAUUAUUUUCAUUGACGUCAAAAAUAUGUGACGUCAUUGAUUAGACGCGUCAUAGAAAUAGUUCUAUGAGGCGCGUAAUCUCGCUUGGGCGAGAUUUGGUAAGUUGACAUGCGCAUUGCCUGUUUUGCCCAGUGUAUCCGGUUCCUGUCUGAAUUUUUUUUUAAUCAACAGUCUGUGGGUGACAAUUUCAGUUACGCUCCUGUGUUACCGGAAAAGAGCUUUGCUCAACCACCGCGCUUCGCGCGAUGCUGUAGAGCUUCGCUCUAUAUUAUUGAUAUAAAAAAAAUGUCAUAAAUAAUGCAACAGGGAGAGUUGUAAAAUGACGAAGAACUGGAAGCGACGACGUCGACUGGCUGCCAGCACAGUACAAUUUACAAACUGCGCACUGUCUUUAUAAACAGACCAAUAAUACAAAAGCCAUUGUAUUUAAUUUUAUGAAGAACUUUCAUUUGAUGUGAACAAGGAAUUUCAAACAUGGAAGAAGGACAAUAAAAUAUAGUUCCUAAAUAACCACCCGCACUGAGUGUUGAUUCAUCCCUAAAUCCUAACUUUAAAAUAGUUGUUGCACUGAAUGAAAAGCAGGCUGUUAUGCGAGUGCCUGAAAGACUUUGAAAUAUAUUAUAUAUUUCUUGUGAAAAAUUGGAAUAGACUCAGCUAUCAACUGACUGUACAUUAUACACUUUCAGUUACACAUUCUAUUUUUUGGAAAUAAUUUUAAUAAAUAUAAUGAAUGAAAUCAUUGGAUUAUUGUGAAUAUUUUGAAAAUGUACUAGGGAUAGAGACUGUCUAUCUUGUCCACUCAAUGAAAUUAUGAAUUCUCCUCAAUGUGUUUAAAGUCAAUUUCUAUUCAAUUCAUAAGAUAUGCAGGGUCUUGUGUGUACUGGUACAGGUGUAUUCAGUAAACUGUAAAAUUUACCCACUCCCUCCUCUAUGAUUACAUAAAACCAUUUAUUGUAACUUUGACACACGGAUCACAAUUUACAAUAGGGUGAAUGAAAAUAUGCAUAAAUCUGGUAACUUUUCUCUCUGAUCAAAUGUGUGAAAUUGUCAUAAAUUUAUACAAAUUUAAGGUUCAAUGUGAAUGCAACUAUGGUAUAUUUUCUUGGGUAAAUUUUCGAGAUCCUAAAAACAUUAGCUUCACACAGUGUCACUUCACUAUAAGCAUAGUUCAGAAUAGUAAUGUCUUUACAAUUUGUGGGUCUCUAUUAUAUUGCAAAUACACAUAUUAUAAACGUUUAAAUCCACAACUUUUCAUAUUUCAAAUUUAUUAUUUCCUUUUAAUAAAAAAAAAAUUAUUUCA